rnacentral:rRNA from 1 species
UAUGCUUAACACAUGCAAGUCGAACGGAGUGCCUUCGGGUGCUUAGUGGCGGACGGGUGAGUAACGCGUGAGAAUCUGCCUUCAGGACGGAGAUAACGACUGGAAACGGUCGCUAAUACCGGAUAUGCCUAGAGGUGAAAGCGUUAGCGCCUGAAGAGGAGCUCGCGGCUGAUUAGCUAGUUGGUGGGGUAACGGCUCACCAAGGCAGCGAUCAGUAGCUGGUCUGAGAGGAUGAUCAGCCACACUGGGACUGAGACACGGCCCAGACUCCUACGGGAGGCAGCGGUGGGGAAUUUUCCGCAAUGGGCGCAAGCCUGACGGAGCAAUACCGCGUGAGGGAGGACGGCCCUUGGGUUGUAAACCUCUUUUGUUUGGGGAGAAGCGCUGAGGGUACCCAACGAAUCAGCAUGGGCUAACUCCGUGCCACCAGCCGCGGUAAUACGGAGGAUGCAAGCGUUAUCCGGAUUUAUUGGGCGUAAAGCGUCCGCAGGUGG